rnacentral:rRNA from 1 species
AAAACAUCGCUCUUUGUAACUUUUAAAUAGAGAGUCGGACCUGCCCAGUGAAUUUUUUUUAACGGCCGCGGUACUCUGACCGUGCAAAGGUAGCAUAAUCAUUUGCCUUAUAAUUGAAGGCUAGUAUGAAUGGUUUGACAAGAAUACGGCUGUCUCUCUAUAAUUUUAUAGAAUCUUAUCUUCAGGUGAAGAAGCCUGGAUUUAACUAAUAGACAAGAAGACCCUAUCGAGCUUGAAAAAAGUUAGUAGAAUAAAUAUAUUAAUUACAUUAAAAAAUUAACUACUAUUAAUUUUAGUUGGGGCGACUAGGGAACAUUUAAAGCUUCCCUUAAAUUGUAAAAAUUAACAUAUUAUGAUCCGAACUUACCGAUUAAAGAAAUUAGUUACCGUAGGGAUAACAGCAUUAUCUUUUUUAAGAGUUCUUAUCGAAAAAAAGGUUUGUGACCUCGAUGUUGGACCAGGAUACCCCAAAGAUGCAGAAGUCUUUAAAGGUUGGUCUGUUCGACCAUUAAAAUCCUACGUGA